GACGAACGCUGGCGGCGUGCCUAAUACAUGCAAGUCGAACGAGUGGCGGACGGGUGAGUAACACGUGGGAACCUACCCAUCAGAGGGGGAUAACACGUGGAAACAUGUGCUAUUACCGCAUACUGCUGGAUGAACCCGCGGUGCAUUAGCUAGUUGGUGGGGUAACGGCUCACCUAGGGGACGUUCUCUAGCUGGUCUGAGCGGUGUAUCAGCACAACUGGAACUGAGACACGGCCCAGACUCCUCCGGGAGGCAGCAGUGGGGAAUAUUGGCAAAGGGGGGCAAGCCGGAUGCAGCCAUGCCGCGUGUAUGAAGAAGGCCUUAGGGUUGUAAAGUACUUUCAGCGGGGAGGCGUUACCCGCAGAAGAAGCACCGGCUAACUCCGUGCCAGCAGCCGCGGUAAUAC
rnacentral:rRNA from 1 species